GGGUGGUUUCCCAAUCUUAAAGAAGCAGAAGGAUAUUAAAGUGAGCCUCCCAAAGGAAAACGUGGAUCUACUUACCAACGCAGAAAAUGAUACACACGGAUUCGAUUUAGGCUGGAGUACAGUAACUGCAACCUCCGCCUCCCAGGUUCCGGUGAUUCUCAUGGCUCAGUCUCCCAAGGAGCUGGGAUUACAGGCACGCUACAUUCAAAUGACUUGGAAGAGCAGGUUCUCUGAGCCAGGAUACUAAAGUCCCUGUUUAGGAAAGAGCCACGUUGUAUGUUUACCCUACCACAAAGAUACAGAAUUCUGGAGGAAAGUGGCUCUGGGAAUUGAACAGUGGCUCAGUGAUGUUGGGGCCACCAAGUCUGCAAUUCUCCCUACCUGUUCUUCAUGGUUGUAAGAUGACUGCUGCAAUUCUCGGCAUCAUGUGCAUGUUAAUGUCAGGAGGAAGAAAGGAAGAGGGAGCACUGGGAUGUUACAUUCAUUUUGUCAGGAAAAGCAAAGCCUUUCCAGACAGCUCCGAAACUUGCUUACCUCUCAUUGGCCAGCACCAUCACUUGACCACUUGUCCACUCCUAGCUGCAAGGAAAGUGGCAAAGUAGAAGGUAUUUGAGAAUGUCUGCUGGGUUAGCCAAAACAAUAGUGACUUCUACACCCAAUUUUCUGGGCACUGCAGAAGUAUCCUUGAGUCCUAUGUGAUCAGAGGGAGAGCAAACCUCAAUAAUGAAACAGAUUCAAUUUCCAUCACCCAGUGAGACACCAUGGGAUUAGAAUAAAUUUUUAAAAAAACAAAUUGAAAAAAAUGCAUUUUUAAAACAACAAAAUCAGAAAGGAUGAAAGGUGAUAUUUCUAGCAUAUCAGUUUGUGGUGGUAAAUUAAUUACCUUAUACAAAGGCCUCAGUGACUUUCUUCUCCUUACCUAACGAAUCAUCUUUAAAAUAAGUAAAAUAAAGAAACAAGAGCAGCAGCAGAUGCUUCCUAAAAAGAAGUUACCAAAUCUGUUCACCACAAACCUGAGAAUUCAACUGUGGACAUUUGGACACCAGCAAUGAACAUGAAACUCAGCUUAUGAGGCAUAUUUGGCUAAAGGUCAAGGUGACUUAAAGUUCAUCAUAGGACAUCUACAAUUUGCAAAGCAGGUGACUGGAUAUGGACUCCUUCCAAGUCUCAUUUAAUUGGAUAAUGCCUACGUUUUAAGUAUCAGAAGUGAGUCUUUCUCUAUUAAAUGAAGUCAGUUCCACUAAAACCUAAAUCUUGUUUGGCAGGCACUCCAUGUUUCUUAAUUUUUAUUCCAUGCUGUAUAUUCUUUUAGACUUGAUUUUCACUUUUUUUUCUUUUUUCCUGUACAUUUAUCUUUGCUGUGAAACAAAGUGCCCUGCUUUGAAGGACAGGUUUGUGGGCUGCUGGUGGUGAGACAACAGCAGUCCUUCCAAGUCUUCCUCCCAUCACUCUGUUAGCUCUCCCUUUGUUUUUAAUUAGCAUUACACCAGUUAAUUCUGUUAUCUCUUAACCCUGGUUCUGCAUCCUCUUCUUCUUUUCUAUUCCUUACUCCGCUCCUGUUUUUUCUUGUUCUGCUUUUCCAAGAAAUGUCUUGUCUCCUCAUCAGUUGACUGUCUUCUCUUUCCAGAGGGACCAUAAAGGUGCCAGCCUAAGGAACACGUAAAACGUGGGAACAGACAAACAAGCUGCUGCCUAUUACAGAGAUAGAUAAUUAACUUUGGACCAUUACAUGCAAUUCAUCAGCUUAUCUUUUUCAAACUUUAUAUAAGAAGUCAUUUCCCAAUGGUAACCACUUGCCAGCUGCAACUUUGACGCAUAUUAUCAGGAUAGGUGAGAUUGAUGGGGGCCCUUUGAACUCUUCCCAGGGAAUUAUCUUUAUAAUGUUACAGUUUUCUCUAUAGCAUGGUCAUAUUGUUAACAUUGGUUAUAAGGUCAUAUGGUUAGUAUGGUUAGUAUUGGUGGCUCACAGCUGUAAUACCAGCACUUUGGGAGGCCAAGGUGGGAGGAUCACUUGAGCCCUGGUGUUCAAAACCAGCUCUGGAAACAUAGCAAGACCUUGUCUCUACAAAAAAAAAUUAAAUAAAUUAAAAGAUUAGCUGGGCAUGGUGGCACAUGCCUGUAGUCCUCACUACUUGGGAAACUAAGGUGGGAGGAUCCUUUGAGCUUGGGAGGUUGAGGCUGCAGUGAGCUGUGGUUGUGCCAUGGCACUCCAGCCUGGGUGACAG
ensembl:lncRNA LINC01094 long intergenic non-protein coding RNA 1094